rfam:Pan troglodytes isolate Yerkes chimp pedigree #C0471 (Clint) chromosome 14, whole genome shotgun sequence.
GCUGGGCAUGGUGGCGUGUGCCUAUAAUCCCAGCUACUCGGGAGGCAGAGGCAGGAGAAUCACUUGAACCCAAGAGGUGGAGAAUGCAGUGAGCCUGAGGUGGUGCCACUGCACUCCAGCCUGGGUGACAAAGUGAGACUCUGUCUCAA